UGGCCCGACACUCAGACCAAGGGACCUUACUACGAGCCCAGGCCUUUAAUCGCAAAACCCAGUAAAAAGGGCUAGCGAUCUAACAAGAGCAGAUGGGAUGUUCUGUGAUGGACUGACCCAACACCUCCAGAAGAGCAAUGUCUUCAAUGUGGACACUUUUGAGCUGACUCGUGGAAAAAUAAAAAUGCAAUGCAUGAAAUGUGUAAAUGA